rnacentral:rRNA from 1 species
AACGAACGCUGGCGGCAUGCCUAACACAUGCAAGUCGAACGAGACCUUCGGGUCUAGUGGCGCACGGGUGCGUAACGCGUGGGAACCUGCCCUUAGGUUCGGAAUAACUCCCCGAAAGGGGUGCUAAUACCGGAUAAUGUCUUCGGACCAAAGAUUUAUCGCCUUUGGAUGGGCCCGCGUUGGAUUAGCUAGUUGGUAGGGUAAAAGCCUACCAAGGCGACGAUCCAUAGCUGGUCUGAGAGGAUGAUCAGCCACACUGGGACUGAGACACGGCCCAGACUCCUACGGGAGGCAGCAGUGGGGAAUAUUGGACAAGGGGCGAAAGCCUGAUCCAGCAAUGCCGCGUGAGUGAUGAAGGCCGUAGGGUUGUAAAGCUCUUUUACCCGGGAUGAUAAUGACAGUACCGGGAGAAUAAGCACCGGCUAACUCCGUG